GCCGCCGUAGCUCAGUGGUAGAGCCUCGGACACGUUAUUCGAAGGUCGCAGGUUCAAUCCCUGCCGGCGGCA
rnacentral:tRNA from 1 species